rnacentral:rRNA from 1 species
UACGUAGGGGGCAAGCGUUGUCCGGAAUCAUUGGGCGUAAAGCGCACGUAGGCGGCCUUGUAAGUUAGAGGUGAAAGCCCGGGGCUCAACUCCGGAAUUGCCUUUAAGACUGCAUCGCUAGAAUUGUGGAGAGGUAAGUGGAAUUCCGAGUGUAGAGGUGAAAUUCGUAGAUAUUCGGAAGAACACCAGUGGCGAAGGCGACUUACUGGACACAUAUUGACGCUGAGGUGCGAAAGCGUGGGGAGCAAACAGG